rnacentral:rRNA from 1 species
AGAUUGAACGCUGGCGGCAGGCCUAACACAUGCAAGUCGAGCGGCAGCACGGGUACUUGUACCUGGUGGCGAGCGGCGGACGGGUGAGUAAUGCCUAGGAAUCUGCCUGGUAGUGGGGGAUAACGCUCGGAAACGGACGCUAAUACCGCAUACGUCCUACGGGAGAAAGCAGGGGACCUUCGGGCCUUGCGCUAUCAGAUGAGCCUAGGUCGGAUUAGCUAGUUGGUGAGGUAAUGGCUCACCAAGGCGACGAUCCGUAACUGGUCUGAGAGGAUGAUCAGUCACACUGGAACUGAGACACGGUCCAGACUCCGUACGGGAGGCAGGCAGGUGGGAAAUAGUUAGGAACAAGUGGGACGAAAGCCUGGACUCCAGCCAUCGCCGUCGUGUGUGAAAGAAGGUCUUACGGUAUUAGAAAGUCACGUUUUAAGGUGGGAAGGAA